rnacentral:piRNA from 1 species
UGGUAUUUAUAAUCUUUCUAAACAUCGUGC